UAUAUUUUUCCCCCAUUUCCUUUGGAUGACAAUUUUCUCCUCUAUUACAUUUUAGAAUCUUGAAAGACAAGAUCAGCAUUUCAGUGAUCUUCCUUUUCCUCUAUUUAAGAUAGUAUGUUUAAAAUGGUAGGCAUUGAACAAAGAUUUUUAAGGAAAGGAAGGAAGUAGGCUGGCUUGUUGAUUAAGCAGAAUUACCUCUUUUGACCUUUUUCUUUUGGUCAUUCCAGAAUCAAUUAGUGAACUUUCCAAUAAAGACAACUGUAGGCUAGAUACCAACAAUUUUUUAAGGGAGACACAAAUUUAUGUAUUAAUAUUAUAUGAUCCAUAUGCACUGGACAACAGAUUGGAAAUAGACAAGAAGCAAUGUGGAGCCUGGUGGAAAGACUCUUACAUAACAAACGCUAUAAAGAAAGAUUCACACAGUCAAGAAGGAAAGCAAAGAGAAGUGAUCAGGUGAGAACCCACACCUGAAGGAGGGGACACAGAAGUAGGGGAAUUACUUGGGUUUGGAGAUCCUCUUUGGAAAGAGAAGGGUUUGGACCACAUAUUGGGCACCCCAGGCCUAGAGUCUGAGACCGGAAAGACAAAUCUCCUUCACUGGUGUGCAGACCAGUGGGAUUGGCAGGGGAACUGUGAGAAACUUGAAUUCCACUCAUUAAGGGCAGGCAUACACUUGCUUCCUUGCUCCCAGAACAAGGCAGAGGAAGCAGACUGAGACUGCCUGUGACUCUAGCUGCUUUUCCCGACCACCCCAGUGCACGUCCUGGCCCAUCUUGCUCCACCACACAGCUCCCCACUAGGGUGAACGUUGACACUGUCAAGGGGCAGGGCAGAGGUGAAGGGAUAGUGCCGACUCAGACCCAGCUCUGCAUCUGAGUAAGGCAAGGGCAGCUAUUACUGGUACUCUCAGAGGCAGCAGAUGCAAAGUAGUGUGGACUCUGAUGUGCCAAGACAGUCCCAGCGCAUGCCCCAACCCACACUGAGUGGCUGCUCCCACCCCUCUUGCUCCAGUGUAGCUCCCUUCUGGGGAAUGAUGCCAGUGCUGUGAGAGGAGAGAGCAUACACGAAGAGGGAAUAGAAGCAGUUUGGCCCCACCCUUAAGGCUUCUGCUCCAGCACCUUGGUGUGUCCUCUACUAAGCAUCAAAGUCCUGGCUCACACCUGGUUCUGACUCUUGCUCUUCCUUCUACAGCCCCACCUCCCAUCACAGUGACAGGUGCCAGCAAAUCUGGGGUAAGAUGUGACUCGUGCUCACUUCAAAUCCAGCUCUCCCACCAAAGCCAAUAGGCUCACACAGACUGCAUAAGGACACACCCACAAAAGGAUACCCCUUUAAGAUCACCAUACUUAACAGUUUCACCUAAUUUUACAGAGAUAGAAAGUUGAUCAAAAUGAGAUGACAGAAGAAUUUAUUUAAAGUGAAAGAAAAAAAUAUAUAUAAACAAUUUAUCAGGAAAAGAGAUCAAAACAGGAAUAAGAAUGCUAACUAAAUUAGGGAGAAGAAUAGAUGAACACAGAGAGGGCUUUAAAAAGGAACUAGAAAACAAAAAAGAACCAGUUAGAGCUGAAGAAUGCAAUAAAUGAAAUUAAAAAAAAAAAAACUAGAAGGACGUUAAGAGCAGACUAGGUGAUACAGAAGAUUUCCCAAGUUAUCUGGAAGAUAGAGAAAUGGAAAUCACCCAACCACAACAGUAAGAAAAAAAAUUUUUAAUCAGAACAGUUUAAGCAACAUCUAAGAAAACACCAAGCAUACUGAGAUUUGUAUUAUAGGGGUCCCAGAGGGAAAACAUUCA
rnacentral:lncRNA from 1 species